rnacentral:rRNA from 1 species
AGAUUGAACGCUGGCGGCAUGCUUUACACAUGCAAGUCGAACGGUAACAGGCCGCAAGGUGCUGACGAGUGGCGAACGGGUGAGUAAUGCAUCGGAACGUGCCCAGUCGUGGGGGAUAACGCAGCGAAAGCUGUGCUAAUACCGCAUACGAUCUAGUGAUGAAAGCGGGGGACCAAAGGCCUCGCGCGAUUGGAGCGGCCGAUGUCAGAUUAGCUAGUUGGUGGGUAACGCCCACAAGGCGACGAUCUGAGCUGGUCUGAGAGGACGACCAGCCACACGUGGAACUGGACGAC